rnacentral:rRNA from 1 species
UACGUAGGGGACAAGCGUUGUCCGGAUUUACUGGGCGUAAAGAGCGCGCAGGCGGUCGUUCAAGUCGAGUGUGAAAGCCCCCGGCUCAACUGGGGAGGGUCAUUCGAUACUGAUCGACUCGAAGGCAGGAGAGGGUAGUGGAAUUCCCGGUGUAGUGGUGAAAUGCGUAGAUAUCGGGAGGAACACCAGUGGCGAAGGCGACUACCUGGCCUGUUCUUGACGCUGAGGCGCGAAAGCUAGGGGAGCAAACGGG